rnacentral:tRNA from 1 species
GGAGGUAGAGCUCAGUGGCAGAGCGCAUGCUCAGCAUGCACACGGUCCUGGGUUCAAUCCCCAGUACCUCCA